GGCGAACGGGUGCGUAACACGUGAGAAACCAACCCCGGUCUCUGGGAUAACAGGUGGAAACACCUGCUAAUACCUGGAUGCCGACGUGUCCUCGCAAGGGGAUAUGACGAAAGGGCUACCGGUUCGGGACGGUCUCGCGGCCUAUCAGCUUGUUGGAGUGGUAACGGCUCACCAAGGCAUCGACGGGUAGCUGGUCUGAGAGGUUGAUCAGCCACACUGGGACUGAGAUACGGCCCAGACUCCUACGGGAGGCCCCAGUGGGGAAUCUUGCGCAAAGGGCGAAAGCCUGACGCAGCAACGCCGCGUGCGGGAUGAAGGCCUUCGGGUUGUAAACCGCUUUUACCAGGAAGGAAAAUGACAGUACCUGGACAAAAAGGUGGGGCACAACUACGUGCCAGCAGCCGCGGUGACACGUAGUCCACCAAGCGUUGUCCGGAUUUAUUGGGCGUAAAGAGCUCGUAGGCGGUUCAGUAAGUCGGGUGUGAAAACUCUGGGCUUAACCCAGAGACGCCACCCGAUUCUGCAGUGACUUGAGUCCGGUAGGGGAGUGGGGAAUUUCCUCGUGUAGCGGUGAAAAUUGCGCAGAUAUCACGGAAGGGAAAACACCCAAUGGGCAAACGCACCCACCUCU
rnacentral:rRNA from 1 species